GUGGUGGGAUCGAGAAUGACAAAGAUGGCCGCCACCAGCGAGGAGCGGAGUGCAAUGGAGCCUUCAGGUACGAAUUCGGGGCAAAAUCAGCCCGUAGAUCGUUUAAAGAUGCUGUACCCCAUGGUGAACGAAGAUGAAACGCCGUUGCCGCGAUCGUGGAGUCCAAAAGACAAGUUCAACUACAUAGGGCUCUCGCAAAACAAUCUCCGUGUUCACUACAAAGGUUAUGGAAAAACUCAUAAAGAUGCAGCCAGUGUCCGUACGACGCACUCAAUACCAGCCGCUUGUGGCUUAUAUUAUUUUGAAGUUAAGAUAGUGAGCAAAGGCAGAGACGGUUAUAUGGGAAUUGGAUUAUCCGCUCAUGGAGUUAACGUAAACAGACUACCUGGAUGGGAUAAACAUUCUUAUGGUUACCAUGGCGACGAUGGACACAGUUUUUGUUCUUCUGGGACAGGACAGCCUUAUGGACCAACUUUCACAACAGGAGAUGUCAUUGGAUGUGGCGUAAAUUUGGUAGAUAAUACUGCUUUUUAUACAAAAAACGGACAUCAUCUUGGAAUCGCUUUCACAGACCUCCCUCCAAACCUAUACCCCACAGUCGGUCUACAAACACCAGGGGAGAUUGUUGAUGCAAAUUUUGGGCAGGCUCCGUUUGUGUUUGACAUAGGAGAUAUGAUUAAUGAGCUUCGUGUACGAACGAGAUUGCAAAUAAUAGAUUAUCCCACACCUGACCAUGGCCAAGGCCAGUGGCAGUCGGUUCUGCAUAAAAUGGUGUCUACAUACCUAGUUCAUCAUGGUUAUUCCGCCACUGCCGAAGCUUUUGCCAAUAGCACUGGGCAGGUCUUUGAAGAGGAGAUUAACUCUAUUAAGAAUAGACAAAGGAUCCUGAAGUUGGUUUUAGCAGGGCGGAUGGGUGAAGCUAUAGAGUUAACUAGCCGGUUAUACCCUGGUCUAUUAGAGCGAGACCCCAAUCUAAUGUUUGCCCUUAAAUGCCGCCAGUUUGUUGAAAUGGUUAAUGGAAGUGAUUCAGAGGUGUGCCAGAAUAGCAGCGAAAACCAAACUAGCGUUAUACAGUCAACCAAAGCGUAUACAAAGUCAUCUACAAACGGUAGUGUAGAAGAAAUGAACUUAAAUAAUACUCUGAAUGGUGCUGGAGAUCAACAAGUCUCAAAUGGACAAAUCGAAGACGACGUAGACAUGGAAGAGAAUAAUGUCAAUGGUAUAAACGGAAUCAAAAGUGGCAAUGGGUAUCAGAAUGGGAACCUAAACACCAAUGGCCACAAAUGUGAAAACGGAGAAUUCGAAGAUAUGGAGGUAGACAACACUAAUCAAAAUCAACAACAAAAUGGCAAUAGCAGUAACAACAUCGACAAUCCGAGCAAUAAUAAAAAUAGUAAGAGAUUAUUGUGCGGGGGUAACAAGCAAGCUGUUGAAAAAAUGCUGGACUUUGGUCGUCAGUUAUAUUCCCAAUCCAUACAUCUCAGGCAACAACAUGGCAAAAAUGAUGCCAACAAAAAAAUGCUCCAAGAUGCAUUCAGCCUGUUGGCGUAUGCGAAUCCUUGGAAUUCCCCCGUGGGUUGGCAAUUGGAUUCACAACAAAGAGAGACCGUCUGUGGCAGGCUAAACUCUGCGAUACUUGAGUCCAAUAACUUACCACGUCGACCUCCUCUGGAAGUUGCCGUAACACAUGCGAGAGAGUUGGUUCGUUUAAUGUCGAGUGCGGGCCUGGGUGCCUGCGGAUUUGCAGUCGUGGAUAACAUCGUUCAAUAUUGACGGUGCCUACCACUGCUUCCACGGCCACCCCUUCUACCUGCCCGAGUGUGGAUGCGGAGGCGAAACGUGGAGCAGAUGAUUUUGUUAACUCAGCAACAUCGCGACGUCGCGUUCCUCUUCAGCUAGAGCAAUCCGAUUUUUCGUCGAUUUUGUUAUUAUCGGCUCGAUCUCACACUAUAAACACAACCCAAAUGAUAAACAUUCAAACCUGCCAACCAAAAUAAUAUUAAUAGCUUCGAUGAUAAAUAAUUGCUUUUCAAUCGACAACUGCCCACCGACUAUCUCUGAUGGGUCGUUUGGUUUUGCACCUCGUUCCCGGAUUUACUCCAAUGAUCAGCGACUUAGAAUUCAAAAUAUGUUCUUUUGUUUCAACAUAUCGCGCACAAAUUAUCAACAGUAAUACAGAAGUACUAUUCUGCACAAAAACAAAAAAUGAAUAUAAUACAACAAAUUUGGUGUUUUACUUUUGUUACAUUCAAAUUCUACGUGCAUUGCUUUUUUUUUUUUUUUUGGUAUUAUCUUCAUUUUUUAACGUCUGUUUGAUAUGUUGACACAAUAUGGAACUUUGAAUCAUUGAUAAUUUCCUCGCAAAU
rnacentral:misc_RNA from 1 species